GAUGAACGCUGGCGGCGUGCCUAAUACAUGCAAGUCGAGCGAACGGACGAGAAGCUUGCUUUUCUGAUGUUAGCGGCGGACGGGUGAGUAACACGUGGAUAACCUACCUAUAAGACUGGGAUAACUUCGGGAAACCGGAGCUAAUACCGGAUAAUAUUUUGAACCGCAUGGUUCAAAAGUGAAAGACGGUCUUGCUGUCACUUAUAGAUGGAUCCGCGCUGCAUUAGCUAGUUGGUAAGGUAACGGCUUACCAAGGCAACGAUGCAUAGCCGACCUGAGAGGGUGAUCGUCCACACUGGAACUGAGGCACGGUCCAGACUCCUACGGGAGGCAGCAGUAGGGAAUCUUCCGCAAUGGGCGAAAGCCUGACGGAGCAACGCCGCGUGAGUGAUGAAGGUCUUCGGAUCGUAAAACUCUGUUAUUAGGGAAGAACAUAUGUGUAAGUAACUGUGCACAUCUUGACGGUACCUAAUCAGAAAGCCACGGCUAACUACGUG
rnacentral:rRNA from 1 species